AUUGAACGCUGGCGGCAGGCCUAACACAUGCAAGUCGAGCGGAUGAAGGGAGCUUGCUCCUGGAUUCAGCGGCGGACGGGUGAGUAAUGCCUAGGAAUCUGCCUGGUAGUGGGGGAUAACGUCCGUAAACGGGCGCUAAUACCGCAUACGUCCUGAGGGAGAAAGUGGGGGAUCUUCGGACCUCACGCUAUCAGAUGAGCCUAGGUCGGAUUAGCUAGUUGGUGGGGUAAAGGCCUACCAAGGCGACGAUCCGUAACUGGUCUGAGAGGAUGAUCAGUCACACUGGAACUGAGACACGGUCCAGACUCCUACGGGAGGCAGCAGUGGGGAAUAUUGGACAAUGGGCGAAAGCCUGAUCCAGCCAUGCCGCGUGUGUGAAGAAGGUCUUCGGAUUGUAAAGCACUUUAAGUUGGGAGGAAGGGCAGUAAGUUAAUACCUGGCUGUUUUGACGUUACCAACAGAAUAAGCACCGGCUAACUUCGUG
rnacentral:rRNA from 1 species